rnacentral:rRNA from 1 species
CAGCACCUCAAGUGGUCAGGAUGAUUAUUGGGCCUAAAGCAUCCGUAGCCUGUUCUGUAAGUUUCCGGUUAAAUCCAUUAGCUCAACUAAUGGGCUGCCGAAAAUACUGCAGAACUAGGGAGUGGGAGAGGUAGACGGUACUCGGUAGGAAGGGGUAAAAUCCUUUGAUCUAUUGAUGACCACCUGUGGCGAAGGCGGUCUACCAGAACACGUUCGACGGUGAGGGAUGAAAGCUGGGGGAGCAAACCGGAUUAGAUACCCGGGGGUAGUCCCAGCUGUAAACGAUGCAGACUCGGUGAUGCCCCUGGCUUGUGGCCAGUGCAGUGCCGCAGGGAAGCCGUUAAGUUUGCCGCCUAGGAAGUACGUACGCAAGUAUG